rnacentral:rRNA from 1 species
GUACACUCCUGCGGGAGGCAGCAGUGGGGAAUAUUGGACAAUGGGCGAAAGCCUGAUCCAGCAAUGCCGCGUGAGUGAUGAAGGCCUUAGGGUUGUAAAGCUCUUUUACCCGGGAUGAUAAUGACAGUACCGGGAGAAUAAGCCCCGGCUAACUCCGUGCCAGCAGCCGCGGUAAUACGGAGGGGGCUAGCGUUGUUCGGAAUUACUGGGCGUAAAGCGCGCGUAGGCGGCUUUGUAAGUUAGAGGUGAAAGCCCGGAGCUCAACUUCGGAAUUGCCUUUAAGACUGCAUCGCUAGAAUCGUGGAGAGGUGAGUGGAAUUCCGAGUGUAGAGGUGAAAUUCGUAGAUAUUCGGAAGAACACCAGUGGCGAAGGCGACUCACUGGACACGUAUUGACGCUGAGGUGCGAAAGCGUGGGGAGCAAACAGGAUUAGAUACCCCAGUAGUCCCAUGAU